rnacentral:lncRNA from 1 species
UUCACAGCUUUGCGCACACUUCACACUUCAGCUUCACCUCUCCAUGGAACCGGUUUGAAGUCUCCCCCUCUCAACUGACUUCACAGCCAUCCUAGAGAAGCUAGGACACAACCAGAUCAUCUUCAAAACACCAGUGAGGCUGAUCAACACUUCACACACGGCUUGCCCUCUUUAUAGAACUGGUUUGGAUAUCCCCUUCUCAACAGACUUCACAGCCACCUUAGAGAAGCUAGGAAAUGACCAGGAACACCUUUAGUGAGGCUCAAGCAAUGGUACCUGAUACAUUAUCCCAAAGGUGCAUCAGAACCUAUCAAAAACAAGACAAUGAAUAUCCUGCAUCACACUUGAUGCACACAAUCCCAUAAUUCAAUCAUGAGCAUCUUAAGUAUCUUUUCAAGCACAAGCAAUGAAUAAGAUGAAUGAAAAAGAUUGAAGAAAGAGUUUAAAAGUCUAAGGGAACUUCCCUUGUGUUUUUGUGAGUUUCCUAACUCGGCCAAUGCACCAUCUUCAUGGCAUCAUCAACUUCUUGGAAAGGCAGAAUGGAUUCAUCAGCUUCUCCUCAAUCACCUCUCAUUGAAGCCGCAUUGAUGGAGAGCCUUCUUCCUCACUCGCCAAGACUGCUCUGAACAGCCUCUUACCUAGACACGCCACUGACUUGGUCCGGUUGAUGAUCCUUUGUAGAAGCCUUUGCAAAGACUUGUUACUGACCAUGGAUCAUAUGCAUUAAGACUCCCCCUCAAGCUUAGAACCGAGACUAGAAGGAGCUAAGCUUGUGAUGAUCCUAUGCAUCUCCAUGGUCUAAUAACUAUCAUCUUUUAUGAUAGCUUUCUUCUUGUGAGUUUACUCUCUUCCUUAACCAGGAACUAGGGUGUUUGAAUCACCAUAGAGAGCCUCACAAGACACACUUCUCAUUGCAUAAUGACCCAUGCUACACUUCCUGUAGACUUUGGACUGGAUAUUUCCAAUGGUAUUAUGCAAUGGCCAUCUCUCAUUGCAUAAUCAAUCACACUACACUUCCUGUAGAUUAUGGACUAACAUGUCCUAGUGAUGAUAUGCAAUGGCACUAGACCUUUGUCUCUACAUUCUUGGCUGUUGGCGAGUUACAUGUAUCACUCCUUGUGUACCUAACACCACCACAACUCAAUGCAAGAUCAGAUCAUUCCAUUGGGAUCAACCCAAGAUCAUCCAUCCUGUUUGAUCACCAAUGCCACAAUAAUAUAUGAUACUUGAAACAAGCUAGACAAUCAAGACAAGAAUAUGCAAAGACAAUGUAUGCUUUCAACAAUACACUGAUCCCUUUAGAUUCAAUUUAGUUUCAGUUAUUAUUUUUUUUUUAAAUGCAACAAUAGAUGAACGCAUUAGAUUACACACUAACCAUAUGAAUGAACCAGAUUCAAUUCAAAUGAACACAAGACUAGAUGGUACUUAUGCAAUCAAGACAAUAAGCGUGACUAUGAUUCAAGUAGCUUAUGCUUAUGCUCACUAGUUUUAUCACAGCCAAUGAUUCAAGUAGCUUAGACAUACUUCUAAAUGCUUAUAAGACAUCACUGAUGGAUUUAACUAUGGCAUAACAACACUCAGAACUGGACAGAGUCAAGACAAGUAGAUUUCAAUCUCUAACAAUGACAAUGCAAGUUCUAGAUACUACAAUGACAUCCUAGGUUAUUAUGAUUAUUAAGUUCUCUAAAUGCAAUGCAAGCUUACAUCAGUACAUUUGCAAUUUAGGCUCAUUUUUAAAUGCAUUACUACAUGAAUGCACAAUCUUAAAACAUCAGCUAUAUGAAUGCAACAGGUUCAAUCCAUGAUUAAUAUUAAAGUUAUGCACAACAGUUUCAAUCAGAACCAAUGAUGCAAGCAACUUAGACAAUUUCUAAUUGAUGCAAGACUUUCAUUGAUGGAUUAAACAUAGACAAUAGCAUCAGAUAACACUAGGAUUGAACUUAGACAGUAUGAGAUAUGCAAAAUAACUUAUCAAUCAUGAUGCAAGUAGCAGAGACAUUCUACUCAAUUCUACAACACAUUCAUGAUGAUUCAAGUUUAAGACCACACCCAAGACAAUGCAAUAAACAGACCGUGAGUUUCUGGGACUCUAGACAUUACUUAUUAUCAAUAAGACAAUGCAGUAACAACACAAUUUCAGUGCAAUUAGCCUAGACAUUCUACUAGAAGCUAUAAACUCUUAAUGGAAUUAGGGAAAGCACAUAGUAUAAUCAGGAGAUAAAACUAUCAAGACAUAUUAAGGUAGAUGAGAUUAGGUUUACUCCCUUGGUUAAGAUGAUGAGGAGUGGUUCUCAACGUUACCACUUGAAUCCUUACUUCUUCUUCUUCUUCUCUUAUUGCAAUCACCCUUCUGAAUUCACCACCAUGAUGGAAUGCUUGUGGAUGCUUCAGCUACUUCUUCAAUCACCUCACAAUAGAAGCCGCCUUGAUAGAGUAGCCUUCUUCUUCACACAGCCAAGAGUGCUCUGUCUUAGUUUGAGCACCCUCUUGAAUAGGCACGCCACUGCCUAGACCCGGUUGGCUUCUUCUUCUGGUACUUGCAAUGUUGAGAAGAAGAACACUAGUGAGUUUUACAACCAUCUGUGCUUCUCCCUUCUUGUAACACCUCUCCAUUGUACACACAAUGGGCAUCUUCUUUCUCUUUCAACUUGGAUUUGAUGAUGAACUAGGAACACCUUUUGUGAACCUGAAACAUCACUCAAACUCUAGCAAAGAUAAGACACAAUUGCAUUGGGAUCAAUCCUUGACUUCAUCAAGUUUGAUCACCAAUGUCUCAAGCUUUAUAACAUUAGAUAGAAUCAAGACAAUGUCAAGUUCUUAUCUAUGCAAGCAACCAUUCUCUAAAUACUAAACAAGACCUUAUCAGAUUCAAGUCAAGUUACUUAGGCACUCUUAAGAGCUUCUUUACUCAGUACUUAGACAUGAAUCUAAUACUUCAAUGUAAGACAGCCACAAGACUAUAUGCAACAGCUUUAAAUUCGGUUUCACUCCAUGUAUGCAAGCAGAUUUAAUUAAUCACAACAAGCAUCACUAUGAACCGGAGCUAAGCAUACUAAACAAUUUCAAUACCCAAACAAGACUCUUAAAGUAUCCUGGGACAGAUUCUAAAGCAACUUCAUUUUAGCAAUAUUUUAAACAAUCCUCAGGUUUCCAAUAACAUCACAACAAAACAACCUGUUCAUACACUCAAGCUUUAUACAAGAGAAAGAGAUUUCCUUACAGCCAAGGAACUAGUGUUAGUUCCUUGAAACUCCAUAGAACAUGGCAAGACAGUGAGCUGUUGGUGUCGAUUCCAACUUCUCCUUCUCCCAUGGACCUUUCUCUUGAACUUUCCAUGUCAGUUUUCAGAGUACCAGUACUUGAGUGAUGUAAGAACAGAUGAGAGAUUGUUGUGUGAUGAAGUAUGAAGAAUAGAAAUGAGUUUAAGAGAAUCAAAGAGAGUAUGGGAGAGACUGAGAACGUGUAUGGGAGAUUAGAGAGAGACUUAGUAACCAGAGAAUAAGAUCCAAGAACAAGUUUAUGAAGAAGAGAGACUCUCUCAGCUUAAGGGUUUACAAAGUGAUCAUAAGAGGCUUAUAUAUGCCUUUACACAACUCAGAUCACAAACCUAGAUCCUAAGGCUGUAAAUACAAGAUAGAAUGGAUGGUAAGGAUGAGAGAAGACUGGUCUUGAUGUUCUGGUUCUUAGCUGGCGACUUGAUCCAAUGUAAAGGGCUCAGAUUGCUUCAUUUGAAUUGAAUGGAUAGGAUGAGUCAAGGCUGUAAAGGUAAAGCACCUUUACCUUUCCAGCUCAUACCAACAGCUCACCUUAUCCAUUUGAAUCUUCCCUUGCCUCCAAGAGUCUCCAACGGUCACAUGAUUCAACCUAAGUCGCGCCCACACAUUGCACAACUUGGGCAAGGCUGAUCCGGGUGAUGACCGAACCAGAUAGGAUGUACGGACGCUGUACGGCCUUGAGGUCCGUACACUCGCCCUAUGCCUUCAUCCAACUUCCUUCUAAGGUUGACCCUUACAACGCCCUAUCUUUGCACCAUACAUCCAUCUUCUCUCUAACUCCUCCAAAGCCUUCACAUGAUCAGUAUAAGUCUUUCCUAGACUUAACUUCACAAGAUAACUACUUCAGAACACUUCUGAAGCUUGAUUGAACUCUUCUAGACAUCUUCUAGAGCUUGCCCUAUUAUUGUACAAGCUCCAUCUUCUCUUCAGUUCAACACUCCCCCUCAAGCUUAACUUUAGUUGAUCCUAAGUUAAGCUUGGAACUCUGAAGAGUCUCCCUCAUUAAAAACCUUACAAGGAAAACCCAUUGGGACAAAACCUUGCAAGGGAAAAAGAGUAGAGCUCUCCAAAGCCUAGGGAUUAGCCAGUGAGCUCUUGUGCCUUAGAACCAGUGUGGUUGGACACAAGAAGCUCUGGAUCAUGGCCUACUAGGUGCAGCAACUCUUCAGAGCUUUGCGCACACUUCACACUUCAGCUUCACCUCUUCAUGGAACCGGUUUGAAGUCUCCCCCUCUCAACUGACUUCACAGCCAUCCUAGAGAAGCUAGGACGCAACCAGAUCAUCUUCAAAACACCAGUGAGGCUGAUCAACAAUUCACACGGCUUGCCCUCUUUAUAUAACUGGUUUGGAUAUCCCCUUCUCAACAGACUUCACAGCCACCUUAGAGAAGCUAGGAAAUGACCAGGAACACCUUUAGUGAGGCUCAAGCAAUGAUACCUGAUACAUUAUCCCAAAGGUGCAUCAGUACCUAUCAAAACCAAGAAAAUGAAUAUCCUGCAUCACACUUGAUGCACACAAUCUCACAAUUCAAUCAUAAUCAUUUUAAGUAUCUUUUCACGCACAAUCAAUGAAUAAGAUGAAUGAAGAAUAUUUGAAGAAAGAGUAUAAAAGUCUAAGGGAACUUCCCUUGUGUUUUUGUGAGUUUCCUAACUUGGCCAAUGCACUAUCUUCAUGGCAUCAUCAACUUCUUGGAAAGGCAGAAUGGAUUCAUCAGCUUCUCCUCAAUCACCUCUCAUUGAAGCCGCAUUGAUGGAGAGCCUUCUUCCUUACUUGCCAAGACUGCUCUGAACAGCCUCUUGCCUAGUCACGCCACUGACUUGGUCCGGUUGAUGAUCCUUUGUAGAAACCUAAUGCAAAGGACUGCUCUGAACAGCCUCUUGCCUAGUCACGCCACUGACUUGGUCCGGUUGAUGAUCCUUUGUAGAAACCUGAUGCAAAGACUUGUUAUUGACCAUGGAUCAUAUGCAUUAAGACUCCCCCUCAAGCUUAGAACCGAGACUAGAAGGAGCUAAGCUUGUGAUGAUCCUAUGCAUCUCCAUGGUCUAAUAACUAUCAUCUUUCAUGAUAGCUUUCUUCUUGUGAGUUUACUCUCUUCCUUAACCAGGAACUAGGGUGUUUGAAUCACCAUAGAGAGUCUCACAAGACACACCUCUCAUUGCAUAAUGACCCAUGCUACACUUCCUGUAGACUAAGGACUAGAUAUGUCCAAUGGUAUUAUGCAAUGGCCAUCUCUCAUCACAUACUUAAUCACACUACACUUCCUGUAGAUUAUGGACUAACAUGUCCUAGUGAUGAUAUGCAAUGGCCCAAGACCUUUGACUUUACAUUCUUGGUUGUUGGCUGAGUUACAUGUAUCACAUUCCUUGUGUACCUAACACCACCACAACUCAAUGCAAGAUCAGAUCAUCCCAUUGGGAUCAAACCAAGAUCAUUCAUCCUGUUUGACCACCAAUGCCACAAUAAUAUAUGAUACUUGAAACAAGCUAGACAAUCAAGACAAGAAUAUGCAAAGACCAUGUAUGCUUUCAACAAUACACUGAUCCCUUUAGGUUCAAUUCAGUUUUUUUUUUUUUAAAUGCAACAAUAGAUGAAUACAUUAGAUUACACACUAACCAUAAGAAUGAAACAGAUUCAAUCCAAAUGAACACAAGACUAGAUGAUACUUAUGUUGAGAUGAGAAGUCUUGAGAGGUUAAGUGUGGAUGGAGAAGAAGGAGCUUAGGAGGAAUGGAUAGGUUUGGGUAAGGUGUCCGUACAAGGCAAGGCCGUACAAGGCCGUACCACUUGGCCGUACACACUUACCUCAGCUGCGGUUAAGUCAAGAGUUACUUGGGUGACUUACCAUGAUAAGAAGAAGCACUGAUCACUCACCUGAAGGAUCAGACCGUUACCAAAGGAAGAAGGAGCGUGUGACAGCCUGUCUUGAGCUGGAAAGAAGUGUUGAACUGAAGAGAAGAAUGGAGCUUGUGCAUAAAUAGGGCAAGCUUCAGGUGAUCUCCGGAAGAGUUCUACAAAGCUUCAGGAGAGUCUUGAAGUAUCUAUUGUUGAACUGAAGAGAAGAUAGAAGGUGUUGGAAGAGUUUGGGAGAAGGUGGCCGAUGGUACAAAGAUAGGGCAAGACCUUCAGGAGUGUCCCUUGGUAUCCAGAAGUGAUCUGAUGGUUGUGCAAAGAUAGGGCCAAGUCUAGGAAGGACUUAGAAGCAUAUAGUUGAGGAGAAUGGUCGAGUGUGAAAACUUAGGGCGAGGCCGUACGGAACGUACGGACCUGACCGAUCCGGAAGUUCAAGACUCGACCAUCUGAGUCUAUUUGGAGUUGGUGCAAAAAUAGGGCAAAGGAUAGCUCUUAAGAGAAGAAGACAAAAGAGGCUCUUAAGAGAAGAAGACAAAAGAAGAAGCUGGCGCCAAGACAGGCUGUCUAUGAGCUGUGUGAGCUGUAAAGAAGAAGCUAUAGUGACCUUGUAUCUGAACAGAUACAAGGGCAGGUUCAUGGGAGCCUUUAGCCAGCCAAUAAGGAGCCAGCAUUCCCUUUGACCAGAUUUGAAUUAACCAACCAGGCACCAAAGAGAGUUUAACCAAUCAGAUGAGGCUAUAAUGACCAGAUCAACUCUCCAUCUCGUCCCUCCAUCCUUCUAGUCUUUUAUGAGCCAUUAGAUGUAGGUUUUAAGUUUAUGGAAUGUAAAGAGCAUAUAUAAGCCUCUUAUGAUCAUUUUGUAAUCUUUAAGUGAGUAAGGGGGGAAACCCUUCUCCUUCAUGUUCUAUGAAAGUCUGUUCUUGAUACUAAAUCUCUAAUCUAUUCUCUAAGUCUCUCAGUCUCUUUAAUCUUGUUACCUAGUCUCUCUCAUACUCUAAAUCUCUCCCCAUACUCCUAAGUCUCAAAUCUGCUCACAUAAACUCUCCUAAACACUUUCUCACACACACCUUGAGUUAAUCCUAUAAAAAUCUCAUGGUAUCAGAGCCAGGUUCAUCAGAACCUGGUAUCUAACUUCCGCAAAGCUCAAGCCCACCUCCAUGGUUGUUUGAAGCAAAGAAGAAGCUCUUUAGUCCAGCCAACGUUUGUUCAUUUUCAGGAGGAAGAUAAACACAUCCAUAAACUCUCCUAAACACUUUCUCACACACACCUUGAGUUAAUCCUAUAAAAAUCUCAUGGUAUCAGAGCCAGGUUCAUCAGAACCUGGUAUCUAACUUCCGCAAAGCUCAAGCCCACCUCCAUGGUUGUUUGAAGCAAAGAAGAAGCUCUUUAGUCCAGCCAACGUUUGUUCAUCUUCAGGAGGAAGAUAAACACAUCUGAGGUGCUUGAGAAGCUGUAUGUGCUCUAUCCUGACUUAUCAAGCUCGACCUGAAGAAAGGAGACCCUGAAGAACAAAGCCUUGAAGCUGUUUGACAACACUCUUCAAGAGCUAGAUCCUUGAGUCUUAGUGGUGGUUCAAGAAGAAAGGUGAUAGCUUUCUACUUGGGACUGGUUUGGCGACUUGAAAGGGAGGAAAUGAGGUGUCUCAGCCAUGGUGGGGUCAAGAGGAUGGUUCAUGAAAGAAGAAGGGGUGUGAUACGACACCAAGAGCUCAACAUCUGGCCAUGAACCAUGGAGAUUCAAGGAACUAGUAAAAGUUCCUUGGCUGUAAGCUGGAUCUCUUUCCCUCUUUAUUAAAAAGCUUGAGUAUAGAAAUGUUGAGGUGGUGUGGUGAUUGAUGUUCUGUGUAUAUCCCAGGAUGCUUCAAAGGCUUGAUUAGUGUUUUGAAGAAUAAAGUGAUUGCUCUAGUUCAGUCAUGAGUUUGCUAAGAUAUUAAAACUUAUUGUUUGAAUCCUGUGCUCAUGAACUGAAAAUUGAUUGAAGUAAUGCUGAGAACUGUGUAGUCCUGGAUAUAAUGAUGCUUGUCAGGGAGUUAGUAGACGUCUAAACCUGAUUGCUUUUCAUGAAAUGAAUCCGCUGGCUGUCUGACAUUGAAGCAUUAGAUUCAUGUCUAAAUGCUGAGUAAAGAAGCUCUUAAGAGUGCCUAAGUAACUUGUCUUGAAUCUGUUAGGAUCCUGCUUGUACUUAGAGAGUUAGCUUGCAAAGAAUAGAACUUGAAGAAUGCCUUGUGUCUAUCUGUUGCAUUGCUUGUGAUAGUAGGAAUCAAACUUGAUAAGUUGUUAAUCAAGAUUUGACAUCAGUACUAUUGAAAAUGGUUAAAUGCUUAAUGUCAGUUCUAAAUAAACAUGUCUUGUUAAAGAUGAUAGAUUAUAUUAUCUAAUCAUGCUUGCCUUCAUGAGUUAGAAACUGAGUAAGAUUAAUGCAUACUGCCUCUGUUUAUUGUUGCAUUUAGAUUAAAGUCUAAGUUGCAUAUUAAGGAAUGGUUAAAAUUGCCUAAAUACUUUGACUUGAAUCUGAUAAGGUCUUGCUUAGUAUUUAGAGAAUGGUUGCUUUCAUAGAUAAGAACUUGACAUUGUCUUGAUUCUAUCUAAUGCUAUAAAGCUUGAGACAUUGGUGAUCAAACUUGAUGAAGUCAAGGAUUGAUCCCAAUGCAAUUGUGUCUUAUCUUUGCUAGAGUUUGAGUGAUGUUUCAGGUUCACAAAAGGUGUUCCUAGUUCAUCAUCAAAUCCAAGUUGAAAGAGAAAGAAUGAUGCCCAUUGUGUGUACAAUGGAGAGGUGUUACAAGAAGGGAGAAGCACAGAUGGUUGUAAAACUCACUAGUGUUCUUCUUCUCAACAUUGCAAGUACCAGAAGAAGAAGCCAACCGGGUCUAGGCAGUGGCGUGCCUAUUCAAGAGGGUGCUCAAACUAAGACAGAGCACUCUUGGCUGUGUGAAGAAGAAGGCUACUCUAUCAAGGCGGCUUCUAUUGUGAGGUGAUUGAAGAAGUAGCUGAAGCAUCCACAAGCAUUCCAUCAUGGUGGUGAAUUCAGAAGGGUGAUUGCAAUAAGAGAAGAAGAAGAAGAAGUAAGGAUUCAAGUGGUAACGUUGAGAACCACUCCUCAUCAUCUUAACCAAGGGAGUAAACCUAAUCUCAUCUACCUUAAUAUGUCUUGAUAGGUUUAUCUCCUGAUUAUACUAUGUGCUUUCCCUAAUUCCAUUAAGAGUUUAUAGCUUCUAGUAGAAUGUCUAGGCUAAUUGCACUGAAAUUGUGUUGCUACAGCAUUGUCUUAUUGAUAAUAAGUAAUGUCUAGAGUCCCAGAAACUCAUGGUCUGUUUAUUGCAUUGUCUUGGGUGUGGUCUUAAACUUGAAUCAUCAUGAAUGUGUUGUAGAAUUGAGUAGAAUGUCUCUGCUACUUGCAUCAUGAUUGAUAAGUUAUUUUGCAUACAUAAGCAUAUCUCAUACUGUCUAAGUUCAAUCCUAGUGUUAUCUGAUGCUACUGUCUAUGUUUAAUCCAUCAAUGAAAGUCUUGCAUCAAUUAGAAAUUGUCUAAGUUGCUUGCAUCAUUGGUUCUGAUUGAAACUGUUGUGCAUAACUUUAAUAUUAAUCAUGGAUUGAACCUGUUGCAUUCAUAUAGCUGAUGUUUUAAGAUUGUGCAUUCAUGUAGUAAUGCAUUUAAAAAUGAGCCUAAAUUGCAAAUGUACUGAUGUAAGCUUGCAUUGCAUUUAGAGAACUUAAUAAUCAUAAUAACCUAGGAUGUCAUUGUAGUAUCUAGAACUUGCAUUGUCAUUGUUAGAGAUUGAAAUCUACUUGUCUUGACUCUGUCCAGUUCUGAGUGUUGCUAUGCCAUAGUUAAAUCCAUCAGUGAUGUCUUAUAAGCAUUUAGAAGUAUGUCUAAGCUACUUGAAUCAUUGGCUGUGAUAAAACUAGUGAGCAUAAGCAUAAGCUACUUGAAUCAUAGUCACGCUUAUUGUCUUGAUUGCAUAAGUACCAUCUAGUCUUGUGUUCAUUUGAAUUGAAUCUGGUUCAUUCAUAUGGUUAGUGUGUAAUCUAAUGCAUUCAUCUAUUGUUGCAUUUAAAAAAAAAAAUAUAAUAACUGAAACUAAAUUGAAUCUAAAGGGAUCAGUGUAUUGUUGAAAGCAUACAUUGUCUUUGCAUUUUCUUGUCUUGAUUGUCUAGCUUGUUUCAAGUAUCAUAUAUUAUUGUGGCAUUGGUGAUCAAACAGGAUGGAUGAUCUUGGUUUGAUCCCAAUGGAAUGAUCUGAUCUUGCAUUGAGUUGUGGUGGUGUUAGGUACACAAGGAAGGUGAUACAUGUAACUCGCCAACAACCAAGAAUGUAAAGACAAAGGUCUUGUGCCAUUGCAUAUCAUCACUAGGACAUGUUAGUCGAUAAACUACAGGAAGUGUAGUGUGAUAGAAUAUGCAAUGAGAGAUGGCCAUUGCAUAAUACCAUUGGACAUAUCUAGUCCUUAGUCUACAGGAAGUGUAGCAUGGGUCAUUAUGCAAUGAGAGGUGUGUCUUGUGAGACUCUCUAUGGUGAUUCAAACACCCUAGUUCCUGGUUAAGGAAGAGAGUAAACUCACAAGAAGAAAGCUAUCAUGAAAGAUGAUAGUUAUUAGACCAUGGAGAUGCAUAGGAUCAUCACAAGCUUAGCUCCUUAUAGUCUCGGUUCUAAGCUUGAGGGGGAGUCUUAAUGCAUAUGAUCCAUGGUCAGUAACAAGUCUUUGCAAAGGCUUCUACAAAGGAUCAUCAACCGGACCAAGUCAGUGGCGUGUCUAGGUAAAAGGCUGUUCAGAGCAGUCUUGGCGAGUGAGGAAGAAGGCUCUCCAUCAAUGCGGCUUCAAUGAGAGGUGAUAGAGGAGAAACUGAUGAAUCCAUUCUGCCUUUCCAAGAAGUUGAUGAUGCCAUGAAGAUGGUGCAUUGGCCGAGUUAGGAAACUCACAAAAACACAAGGGAAGUUCCCUUAGACUUUUAAACUCUUUCUUCAAUCUUUUUCAUUCAUCUUAUUCAUUGCUUGUGCUUGAAAAGAUACUUAAGAUGCUCAUGAUUGAAUUAUGGGAUUGUGUGCAUCAAGUGUGAUGCAGGAUAUUCAUUGUCUUGUUUUUGAUAGGUUCUGAUGCACCUUUGGGAUAAUGUAUCAGGUACCAUUGCUUGAGCCUCACUAAAGGUGUUCCUGGUCAUUUCCUAGCUUCUCUAAGGUGGCUGUGAAGUCUGUUGAGAAGGGGAUAUCCAAACCAGUUCUAUAAAGAGGGCAAGCCGUGUGUGAAGUGUUGAUCAGCCUCACUGGUGUUUUGAAGAUGAUCUGGUUGUGUCCUAGCUUCUCUAGGAUGGCUGUGAAGUCAGUUGAGAGGGGGAGACUUCAAACCGGUUCCAUGGAGAGGUGAAGCUGAAGUGUGAAGUGUGCGCAAAGCUGUGAAGAGUUGCUGCACCUAGUAGGCCGUGAUCCAGAGCUUCUUGUGUCCAACCACACUGGUUCUAAGGCACAAGAGCUCACUGGCCAAUCCCUAGGCUUUGGAGAGCUCUACUCUUUUUCCCUUGCAAGGUUUUGUCCCAAUGGGUUUUCCUUGUAAGGUUUUUAAUGAGGGAGACUCUUCAGAGUUCCAAGCUUGGCUUAGGAUCUCCUAAAGUCAAGCUUGAGGGGGAGUGUUGAACUGAAGAGAAGAAUGGAGCUUGUGCAUAAAUAGGGCAAGCUUCAGGUGAUCUCCGGAAGAGUUCUACAAAGCUUCAGGAGAGUCUUGAAGUAUCUAUCAUGGGUGAAGUUAAGUUCAAGAAGGGCUUAGACUGAUCUUAAGAAGACAUGGAAGAAGUAUGGAGGUGAAUGGUUGAACGUGCAAAGUUAGGGCGAGGCCGGUACGGAUGGCCGUACGGAUGGUACGGCCCGUACGGACAUGAUCGACUCAAAACUUAUGUACUCGGCCAUUUGAAGCUAUUUGAGGGCUGUGCAAAUAUAGGGCAUUGGUGUACGGUUAUGGCAAGUCCGUACAGCCAAGGAGAAGCUCUAAUAUGAAUGUGCAAAGUCCGGGAUGGUGAGAAGCAUCAAAUGGAACAAGAAGAUGCUUUGGAGGCAAGAAGAUUCAAAUAAGAGUUGGCGCCAGUCUGUGGGUUAUGGGAUUGGUUGUAGUGGUCUAAGGACAGGCUGUAAAGAGCUGUAAAGGAAGAGCAAGGCUUGACCAAGUAUCUGGCCAAAGAAGAGGGCAGAUACAUAAGGCUGUGUGGAGCAUUUCUAGCCUUGCCUUCCCACAUCCAAUCAGGCGACAACAACAAGCUGCAAAGACCACAAGACUGAAUCAAGAUCGUCCAAUUCAAAUCAGAGCAUCUCCACCCUUCAUGUCUUAUCUAUUACUUUAGGGUUUCAUGAGUUUGUAACCUGUUUCUAUAUAAAGACCCCAUUAGGGCGAAUUGUAAGCCUUAAGUGAGUAAGGGGGGAAACCCUUCUCCUUCAUGUUCUAUGAAAGUCUGUUCUUGAUACUAAGUCUCUAAUCUAUUCUCUAAGUCUCUCAGUCUCUUUAAUCUUGUUACCUAGUCUCUCUCAUACUCUAAAUCUCUCCCCAUACUCCUAAGUCUCAAAUCUGUUCACAUAAACUCUCCUAAACACUUUCUCACACACACCUUGAGUUAAUCCUAUAAAAAUCUCAAGUAUGUCACCAGUGCCUUGCCAUCACCCUCACGCCCCUCUCCUUCAGCUCCACGGCUAGAUGAUCCGGCUCCACUUGUUCCAUCAGAAGCAUGAGCUCUUGCCUCCCUUUCCUUCAUGAACUUUGCCGGCUUCAGAUGAGGAUGUAGUAUCCAGCACUGGCUCUUCUUGUGUCCAUGCUUCUUGCAGUGAUCACAAUUGCCAUUGAACUUCCUAUCCUCAUACUUGCCGUGUGCUGCUUUGUUGGCUUGUGGUAUCUCCUCAUGAUCAGUUCGCGCAGCAUUGGCUAGAGACAAGUCUCCUUUACCACCAAACAAGCCAAUGGAGCCUUGCUCCUUUUGUAUUUGAGCACACGCAUCCUCCAGGUCCGGAAGCUUCUCAGCCCUCAACAUAUGCUGAAUCAACCCACUGUAGCUUGGAUUCAAUGUAAGCAACAACCCAAAGACCUUAUCUUGCUCUCUCCUUUCAUUUAGCAGCUCUGGAUCAGUUGUGCUCGGCCUCAGCAUCUCCAGCUCUGACCAGAGUGUCCGGAACCUCCCCAAAUGCCUAGUGAACUCCAUGUCCUCCUGAGUUAGAUCAUUCAAAGCUUUCUUCACUUCAAAGACCCGGCUGAGGUUAGAGGUGUUUCCAUAUACCUUCUUCAAUGUUUCCCACAGCUCCUUGGCUGUCUCACAAUAGCUGUAAGCAUCUAGAAUGGCUGGCUCCAACGAGCUAUGAAGAGCAGACAUCACCAUCAUGUCCUCUUGUUGCCACUUCUCAGCUUCAGCUUCCGAGACACUCUCCUUGUCUCCUCCUUGAGUAAUGAGCUUUGGAGCCUCACCAGAUGUGAUAUGCUUCCAUAAACCCUUACUUCCCACAGCAGUCUUCACCAUCCUAGACCAUACUAGGUAGUUACUGCCCUUGAAAGUCACAGCAACCUUCAUCUUGGAACCACUCUCCAUCUUCAACAGUUUCACUUCAAUAACUUGUAAAAGACUUGAUCUUGAGACUCAGAACUACAACACCAGCUCAAACCCUUCCGUGCCUUGUCUUUACUCUUCAAAGAACCCUAAAAAAAGCUAGAGAAGACUUCCGGAAUGAAGAUGUAGCUCCCGGGAUGCAGCUUCUUCCAAGAACACUCACACCACUCUCACUUGAUCUCUCAAGGUUUCAAGUUUGAAUCUUCAAGAGAAAAACGCCAAGAACUCAGAUUGAAAUCAACCUGGCUCUGAUACCAUAUCAGUUUUGAGUAAAGUAAAAGAUAAUCUGAGUUUAGAUAAGAAUAGAGAAGAGAUUAGAGUAGAUUUGAGAGAUUAAGAGACUAAUGGAGAAUCAUUGUGAAAGGUUUAGAAAGAUUGAUUUGUUUAGGACUGUCUAAUUUUUUAUUAAUGAGAGAGUUUACAAUAUAUAGACUUUAGAUCCUAGGGCUUCAUAAGGAUAAGGUAGAACAAGCAUGUGUAGUCAAAGAAGAGAGGCGCGCCUAAUUCAAACUGAACCAAUGAGGAGCUCCACAUGUGUGACCGGAUGGAUAAGGUUUGCUUUCCCUUUACAGCUCGCAUCCAGCCUGUCAAGCCGCGUCCCUUAUCCUAUCUUCAACGGUCUGCUCAGUUACUCCCAAAGGUUAACUCCUUCUAAGUUACCUUUCACCUCAAGGUAGAGUAACUUCCCAUUUGGCUGUGUCAUACUCGUACGGACAGUACGGCCAGUGUACGGCCUGUACGGUCUUGUCUCGGCCUAACUCCUCUUAAUGCCUUCUUCUCCUCAUCCCUUCUUCCCAAGGUUUCCUAAGCCUUCAUAGUUUAACUCCUCAUCUCAACAUUAAUGAGAGCAUCAAGGUCGGAUCUCCUUAGAUACUCUUGAUCAUUGUUCCCACGGUUGCUUGGUGCUCCAGUGUAGGCUACAAGAGACUUCUCAUCACCUGCCUCACGCCCAUCUAUCCCCUUUCCUUUGCUUGUACCCGCACCACUUGUACCAUCCGAGACAUUAGCCCUUGCCUCACGAUCCUUCAUGAACUUAGCCGGCUUGAGAUGAGGGUGGAGUAUCCAGCAUUGGCUCUUCUUGUGGCCAUGCUUCUUGCAGUGAUCACAACUCCCAUUGAACCUCCUCUCCUCAAACUUCCCAUGCGCAGCCUUGUUUGCUUGUGGAGCUUCACUCCCCUCCUCUUGAGUUGCUUGACUUGCAAGGGAAAGGUCUCCUUUCUUUCCAAACAGCCCAAUGGAGCCUUGCUCCUUCUGAAUCCGCGCACACACAUCCUCAAGGUCAGGCAAAGUAUCCUCCCUAAGUAGGUGCUGGAUGAGACCGUUGUACGCCGGGUUUAGGGUGAGGAGUAACCCAAAGACCUUAUCUUGCUCUCAUCAGCAUCCGUUGUGCUUGGCCUAAGCAUCUCCAUCUCGGACCAGAGGCUUCUGAAUCUUCCUAGAUGCUUAGUGAACUCCAUGUCUUCUUGUACAAGGUUGUUGAUAGGUUGCUUCACCUCAAACACUCGGCUUAGGUUUGAAGUGUUGCCAUACACUUUCUUCAAAGUGUCCCACAGCUCUUUAGCAGACUCACAGUAGCUGUAUGCAUCCAGAAUGGCCGGCUCAAGGGACGCAUGAAGCACAGACAUCACCAACAUGUCCUCUUGAUGCCACUUCUCUUCUGCCUUGCUUGCGGCUUCAUCUUCAGCUUCUCCUAGAGUGAUGAGCUUUGGAGCUUCUCCUGGCGUGAUGUGCUUCCAAAGCCCCUUGCUUCCCACUGUGGUUCUCACCAUCCGAGACCACACCAAGUAGUUGUUUCCCUUGAAACACACCGCCACUUUCAUGUUCAUGUUCAUCCCACUCUCCAUGUUGAAUGUAGAACCCUUUUGACUUCAAUAACUUUCUCUUGAGGUAACUGUCUUGAGUGAACACUAGUAGCUUCUCCUUUUACCCACGCAGCUUCAAUAACACCUCACACAACCAAUAGAACUCAGAAAGACUACCCAGAACCGCUUAAGAACACACGAACACCAAACUGUUUCUUCAAAGCUUCAAUCUUGAAUCUUUAAAGAACCCAACGAAACCAAGUUUUCUAGUAACCUGGCUCUGAUACCAUAUCACUUUUAGGAUAGAGUAGGGUAAUCUGAGUAAAUAAGAAAGACUAGAAGUGAUUUAGAAGAGAUUUGAGUAUGAAAUGAGAUUAGGAGUCUAGCAUAGAAUCAUUGUGAGAGUAAAGACUAAGAAAGACUCAUAACUUGCUUGAUUUUUAUUAAUGAGUGAGGUUACAUAUUUAUAAGAAGGACACAAGGGUUUACAAGAGAGGAAAUGGGCACUAUUAAACCGUGUGGAGUCAAGGCCAUGGAUUCAAAUCAACCACUAGGAUGCAUCACACGCUUAUGGCAUCUUGGACUAAAGGUGCUUUAGCUUUCCAGCCUGUUCCAGCCUGGCACCGCGCAUCCCUUAUCCUUUCACCGGUCUUAUCUUCUCCACUAAGCCCUCAAGGUAACAUAUGCUUGUUACCGUUUCACUUGGUCAAGGUUAGGUAACUUCUGGUCGAGGCAUCUGGUACGAACGGUACGGCCAUGUACGGCCUUGUACGGCCGUCCAUACCAUGCUUGCCCAAAGUCCCCUCAUUCUCUUCCUCCUCUUCUCUUCCACUUCUUAUCUCUUCUUGUUCAUAUCCUCAACUCAUCUCAACACACAUUGCUUCCAUCUAAAGAUAGGGUGCUAGAAGCGUUUAUGAACUUCCAAGCAUAUGUAUCUAAUCAAUACUGAAACAUCACUCAAACUCCAGCCAAGAUAAGACACAAGUGCAUUGGGUCAACCCUUGAUGCAUCAUCAAGUUUGAACACCAAUGUCAUUAAGCAAUGCAACAGAUUAAACUAGACAUUUUCAAGUUCACAUCUUUGCAAGCUCAGCUCUCUAAGUUCUAGUAUGAUCCUACAGAUUCAUUACAAGACACUUAGGCAACUCUUGACAGCUCCUUUACUCAGCUACUAGACAUUAAUCUAGUGCCUCAAUAUAAGGUAACUUCAAGACACUAUGCACUAGCUUUCAGUCGGUUUUAACUCAUGUAUGCAAGCAGAUUCACUCAAUCACAACAAGCACUACAAUGAACCGGAGCUAAGCAUUUUCAAAAACAAUCUCAAUCACCAAACAAGUCUCUUUAAGCAUCCUGGGAUAGAUUCUAAAUUCAUUUUCAUUUAGCAAUCUUUAAACAAUCCUCAGGUUUUCAAUCACAUCACAACACAACAACCAUAUUUUAUCACAAGCUCAUUAUCACUUAAGGCUUAAAGAAUCGCUUACUAUCAAGGAACCAGGUUGGUCCUUGUAUCACCCUUGGAUGGAAAGCUCAUGACUUUGAGGAUAUGUGAGUCUGGAUCGUUACCCAUCUCCUUCUCCUUCAGUUCAUGACUCCCUCCUUGUUUCUCUAACUCAAAGACCCCUCCUUUCUCCUUCUCUUCUAGGCGCCAUCUUCUUGGCAGCUUUCUUGAAGAACCGGAUGGGAAAGCUCUUGGACAAGGCACCUUGGAUGAGGUUCGCGAGGCCUCUCCAUACACCUCUGCUUCCAAUGAGUCUCUCCAUCAGUAUGGACAGGAGAAAGGAUGUGAGCCACGCCAGCUUCAGUCUUCUUCUUCAUGGAGAAACUGAACUCGGAUGGGAAAGGCUUCAAAGGUUGGAUUUGAGCUGAGAUGAGAGCAAGUGAUUUGCGGAAGCUACAGCUCAGGUUCUGAUGAACCUGGCUCUGAUACCAUGUGAGAUUUAUAGAGUUCUCUUCUCUGGUUGUGUUUGUGUGUGUAUAAACUCCAAUGGAGAAAGAUUAGAGCUUGCUCUAGGUGAUUUAGAAAGAGAUUGAUAAGAGUGUUUAUGAGAGAAUAAGAGACUUAGAACCAGAGAUUAAGAGACUGAGAGAUUAAGAGAAUAAGUGUUUAGAGAUUACAGUUUCAGAUUCAAGAACAAGUUUUCAUUUCCAUGAAGUGGAGAGGGGAAAUCCCCCUUACUCCCUUAAGGCUCCAAAUCGCCAUUACAUGCUUAUUUAUAAGCUCCAUAGGUUUACACAAUCUGAAACCUAAAUCUAAUGGAUAAUAUUAACUUGAGAGAAUGGAUGGUGUAGAUGAGAUGGUCUUCUUGUAAUAUCUGAAGAGUUGUGAGGAUAAGGUUGGCUGUUCACUUUAAUUCAAACCAAGGCAAGCUGGCUCCUUGCUUGUGAUUGGCUCUCCUUAGGCUCCUCCUAAUCUUCCCAUGCAUCUGUCCAGGUUCAUGGUCGUGGCUCCCUUCUCUUUACAGCAAGAGACAGCCUGUCCAAGACCAGAACUAGCCAAUCACACACAAGGAAGCUCCCAUUGGUUGUUUGCCUCCACAAAGCAUCUUCUUGAUGCCUUCUUGAUUCCAAACGACCAGGGCCUUCUCCCAACACCCUAAGAUUGCACAAAGCCUCCUUGACAUGUUCUGAUCACGCCCUAAGCUUGCACUUCUUGUCCCGGACUUUGCACAAUCUCAAAACAUCUCAAAUGGGCGAGUUGUGAUCUCUCGGGUCGUACCGGUCCGUACAGAUCCGUACAUGGCCGUACAGCCUCGCCCUAUCUUUGCACACUCUCCCAUUUGCUCCUCAACACUCUUCUAAGUCUCUCCUAGACUUUGACCUUGCUUAGAACAUCCAUCAGAUCACUUCUGGACACCUUUAGACUCCUCAUCACUCUUGAUAGGCAAUCUCUAAAGCUCUUGCCCUAUCUUUGUACAAGAUCCUUCUCAACUCAACACCUCUAGCUCCUCCAUUCCUUUCUUCAAGUUAACAACGCUUGGCCUUUACAGCCUGUCCACGGCCUGGAUGGAUAAGGCUCGUCCCACCCUUAUCUCUAAACGUUCUGAUCAGUCUUGAGACCUUCUAUGUACUCUAGAGGCUUUACUCAUCCAUCUCCUCCUUCCUUCAUGUUUCCUCAGAUGUACGGCCAAGCCCCUGUCCGUACAUAGGCCGUCCUGUCCGUACUCUUUCCAUCACUUGCUUAGCUCUUCCUCUCCUUCUCAUAAUGACUUCCUCAUCUCAACACACAGGUUCCUUGGUUGUAAGCUAAACCUCCUUCCCUUGUUUAAAGCUUGUGUCUUUAUGUUAUGGUUGUGUUGUGUGGUGUGGUUAAGUCCUGCGGAUUCUGUUUUGCAUCAUCUUGUUGUGAUUGCCAUAACUAAAGUGUCAUUAAUGAGUGUAGCAUCUAGUAGAAUGUCUAAGCUACUUGCAUAAUGGUACUGAAGUUGUUUUGCUGUUGCAUUGGUUAGUAUGCAGUGAGUAGUAUUUUAAAUCCCAGGAUCUCAUGUCUUGUUCAUUGCAUUGUCUUGUGUAGUGCCAUAGCUUGAAUCAUCAUGAAUGUGUUGUAGAAAUGAGUAGAAUGUCUCUGCUGCUUGCAUCAUGGUUGUAGAGCUGUUUUGCAUACAUAAGCAUGUCUCAUUGUCUCCUGGUUCAAUCCGAGUGUGUACUGGUGCUGUUGCCUGUGUUUAAUCCAUCAUUGACUGUCUUGCAUCAAUUAGAAGUUGUCUAAGUUGCUUGCCUCAUUGGUUUUGAUUAGAACUGUUGUGCAUAGCUUUAAAGUGUUCUCGGAUUGAUCAUGCAUUCAUAUAGCUAAUGCUUUACGAUUGUGCAUUCAUGUAUUGAUGCAUUUAAAACUGAGCCUAAAUUGCAAAUGUACUGAUGUUAGCUUGCAUUGCAUUUAGAGAACUUAAAAAAAAUAAAAAUUAUAUGCUUGAUUGUGCCUUGAUUGUUUGGCUGUUUCAAGUUUUAUAUAUUGUUGUGGCAUUGGUGAUCAAACAGGAUGGAUGAUCUUGGUUUGGUCCCAAUGGGAUGAUCUGAUCUUGCAUUGAGUUGUGGUGAUGUUAGGUACACAAAGAAGUGAUACAGUGACAAGCCAAACCAAAGUGUGAAGACAAAAGGUCUAGUUCCAUUGCAAAUCAUCACUGGAUGUGUUAAAUCCAUAAUCUACAGGAAGUGUAGUGUGAUUGAUUAUGCAAUGAGAGGAUGCCAUUGUAUAAUACCAUAGGACAUGUUCAGUCCACAGUCUACAGGAAGUGUAGCAUGGGUUAUUAUACAAUGAGAGCUUGUCUUGUGAGGACUCUCUAUGGUGAUUCAAACACCCUAGUUCCUGGUAUAAGGAAGAGAGCAGCUCACAAGACCAAGGCCAUCACAAAAGUCUAUGAAGACCGGUGGUCCAAAGGCCAUGAAAUUGCUUACACCUUACACAAGCUUAGCUCCUCACCUAUUCUCGGAGUUAAGCUUGAGGGGGAGUGUUAAUGAGCAAGUUUCAUGGUCCAUUAUCAAGUCUUUGCAAGGACUUCAUCAAAGGAUCAUCAACCGGGUCUAGGCAGUGGCGUGUCUAGGCAAGAGACUGUUCAGAGCAGUCUUGGCUGAGUGAGGAAGAAGGCUCUCUCUCAAUGCGGCUUCAAUGUGAGGUGGUUGAGGAGAAGCUGAUGAACCAACUCAGUCAUCCAACAAGUUGGUGUUGCCAUGAAGAGGUUGCAAUGGCCAAGAGAGAAGGGCUGCAAGGACUACAUUCAAGAGACAUCAACCGGAGUUAUUCUAGGCUGGGUGUGUAUGAAGGCUAAUAUUCAAGCUGAAGGAUCCAUACAGUCUUCCAACAAGUUGAUGUGCCCGUAGAGGUUGCAAGCCUAUGCGUAGUGUGAGGGAUUCAAGUGACAAUCCAAUCCAGCCACUCCUCACCAAAACAAAAAGGGAAGUGUCCCUUAAACUUAGUUCAAUUCAAUUCACUCAUCAUUUCAUUGUUUAAGCUUGAUAUGAUACUCAAAGUGUUUUGAUUGAAAUGUGAUGCAUUGAUGUGAUGCAAUCUUGGUUUCUUGAUAAGUACUGAUGCACCUUUGGGAUAAUGUAUCAGGUACCAUUGCUUGAGCCUCACUAAAGAUGUUCCUGGUCAUUUCCUAGCUUCUCUAAGGUGGCUGUGAAGUCUGUUGAGAGGGGGAGAUCCAAACCAGUUCUAUGAAGAGGGCAAGCAUAUUUUGAAGUCUUGCUCAGCCUCACUGAUGUUUAAAGAUGAUCCGGUCGCAUCCUUGCCUUUCUAAGAAGGCUAUGAAGCUUGUUGAGAGGGGGAGCCCCAAACCGGUUCCAUGAAGAGGUGAAGCUGAGGUGUGAAGUGUGCGCAAAGCUGUGAACUGUUGCUGCACCUAUUAGGCCGUGAUCCAGAGCUUCUUGUGUCCAACCACACUGGUUCUAAGGCACAAGAGCUCACUGGCCAAUCCCUAGGCUUUGGAGAGCUCUACUCUUUUUCCCUUGCAAGGUUUUGUCCCAAUGGGUUUUCCUUGUAAGGUUUUUAAUGAGGGAGACUCUUCAGAGUUCCAAGCUUGGCUUAGGAUCUCCUAAAGUCAAGCUUGAGGGGGAGUGUUGAACUGAAGAGAAGAUAGAGCUUGUACAAUAAUAGGGCAAGCUCUAGAAGAUGUCCAGAAGAGUUCAAUCAAGCUUCAGAGGUGUUCUGAAGUAGUUAUCUUGUGAAGUUAAGUCUAGGAAAGACUUAGACUGAUCUUAAGAAGGCUUUGGAGGAGUUUGGGAGAAGAUGGUCGAAGGUGCAAAGAUAGGGCGUCGGUACGAACCAGUACGGACAGUACGGCCUUGUACGGCCAUGGGCGAACCAAGAAGAGGAAUGGAUCGACUUAGGAAGAAGAAUGGGUGAUGUGCAUACUUAGGGCGAGUGUACGGACCGGUCAGGCCGUACAUCGACCGCACAACACCCGGGACUCGUCCAUUCAUCCGGUUCAGCCAAGUUUAAAGAUGUGCAAGGAUAGGGCGCGGCUUAUCUGAUCUUUUAUGACCGUUGGAGACCUAAGGAGAGAAAGGGAUAUUCCUCAUGAGCUGUGUGGUCCAAAGAGACAGGCUGGAAAGUAAAAAUGGCUUUACCUUUACAGCCUUAUUUCCACACUGUCUCAUCUUGGCCAUUGAUUCAAAAUGAGCCAAUCUCUCCCCUCCAUUCAAAUCAGGCGUGCCUCCCUUGCCAGCUUGCACCAGAACAUCCAAGACCAGCCUUCUCUCAUCCUAGCCAUUCAUUCUAUCUUUUAAUUACAGCCUUAGGAUAUAGGUUUAUGAUCUGAGUCAUGUAAAGGCAUAUAUAAGCCAUUUGUAUGCAUUUUGUAAACUCUAAGAGAGAGAGGGGGAUUUCCCCUCCUCCUUCAUAAUCUUAUGAUACUUUGUCUCUCUAAACUCUCUAGUCUUUGAUUCUGGUUACUUCAAUCUCGUUCUCAAUCUCUAUUCUCUCAAUCUCUCACUUAAUCUCUCAUACACACUCACCAUUCUCUUAUACUUCCAUUAAUCUCUUAUUCUCUUUCAUUGUUGAACAAGAAUCAGUCCCAACCUGUUGAGGUUGAUCCAUCACGCCCACACACAGCCUGUGCUCUGAAAAACUCACAUGGUAUCAGAGCCAGGUUCAUCAGAACUUGGUUCCAGCUUCCGCUCAAGCACAAGCUCACUCCCAUGCCAUUUCAAGCCAAGAAGAAGCUUCAUGGUCCAGCCGGCUGUUCAACCUCUUCAAGAAGAAGAUGUGCUCAUCCAUGGUGUCCAGGAGCUGUCCUUGGUCGUUCUACACUCUCUCAUGUCCGUCCUGAAGAAAGAAAGCCAUUGGAAGCAUGUCCAAGCCUUUCCUAUUCUCUGUCCAAGGA